UACAGAGGGGGCAAGCGUUGUUCGGAAUUACUGGGCGUAAAGGGCGCGUAGGUGGCCUUCUAAGUUGAACGUGAAAUCCCUGGGCUCAACCCAGGAACUGCGUCCAAGACUGGGAGGCUUGAAUCCGGGAGAGGGAUGCGGAAUUCCAGGUGUAGCGGUGAAAUGCGUAGAUAUUGGGAGGAACACCAGUGGCGAAGGCGGCUACCUGGACCGGUUCUGACGCUGAGGCGCGAAAGCGUGGGUAGCAAACAGG
rnacentral:rRNA from 1 species